rnacentral:tRNA from 1 species
GCCUCUGUAGCCUAGCGGUUAAGGCGCUACCCUUGUAAGGUGGAGAUCGUGGGUUCAAAUCCCACCAGAGGCUCCA